ensembl:lincRNA
AAGUUCAAGAAACUAUUUGUCUUGGUUUGGGUUUCCAUAGAUGCAGACCCUGAGACAAGCAUUCAAGUAUGAGUGAUUUCUUUGGAAGGUGGUCCCAGGAAGUGCUGGCAGGAAAGUGGGAGAGUGACUCAGGAAGGAAAGAAGACCAUGAAGUUGUGGUAUCAAGUCAGUUACCUACCAGCAACUGGAGGUCGGGACCUCCAGAAAACUCUGGUAGGCAAUGGAGGAUGCUCAUCAAUUAUUCUCACUAAAGUACCAAAAAAUGGAGCCAAUCAUCCACCAACUUCUUGCCUUGGUUGAAGACAUUCACUCUUCCCUUGCCUUGCAAGUCUGCUUCUGGGGAAACAAAACCUCAGUAUUUUCAGAAAUAUAUACUUGGAGUAUGUCAUGUAUUAAUGGGUAAAGACGCCAUGGAUAUGAAGGAGAUUACCUAUGGAAGAAUAUUAAGAAGAAAAGAAGGUAAAGAAUCUUCCUUGAGGAACAUCACAUUUAAAGGUCAGGGAGAAGAUAUAUCAGUAGGAGCAUCAGAGGGAGUUGUGGACAAAAUAUUUUCAAAAAUUAAGAUGUGAAGACCACUAGAAUUUGCUUAAAUGCUGUUGGAAAAAGAUAUCAUAGCAAACAGGAGUGUGAAAAUAUAGGUAAGUGAAAAGAGGAAUAGUCAUUGGUGUAAGAUUCCCAAGGGAGUAAGAUAAAAUUGAAUCCAGGUCCUGAAUCCUGGGAUAAACUUUGCAAAAUAUUUGGUAGAUUGGGUCAUAGAAAACAGAGGAAGUUCUUCUCUGAUAUUUGGAUAAUUCUAUAUUUGGAAACAACAAGAUAAUGGAUUGUCUUUCUUCCUACUUUUACCUUACUGUUUGAGUACUGGCGUGAACAAAACUCAGAACAUAAUGAAUCUCACUUAUUUCCAAGUGGGCUACUGCAUUAUUUAAAAAAACACAUCACAUGGACAUGGAGUUUGAGGAGAAGAUUUAUUCUAUUUAAUAUUAAGUUAGGCUUCCUUCCUCUAUUCAUCAAAUUGAACUGGAUAGGAGUCCCUAAUCCAACACCUCCAACUGGAGAAACAGUCUACUGAUUCUCACAGAUCUCAUGUCCUGCUUUGUGUAGAUAAUUUUCAUACGGAUUAUAAUGAAUAAUAUUAAUUUAAACAAUUCCCUAGAAGCCUAAAACAUUUUGUUUGAAGCUCUUCUUUGUCCAACUAAAAAUAACAUCUGGUCUACAAGGCUACCAUCAUAAUUGAGUUCUACAUCUCCAGUCACAACUAGAACCAAAAUUACAGUGAACAUACAAUAAUUCUUUAUCUCUUGGUUUCAGAUUUUUCUCAGUUAUUUAUACCUCUCUAUUAUGGUCUCAUGUUCCUUUCUGUUACAGAGUUUCAGUCUAUGUUGAGUCAAGCAAUUAUAGGGCUGCUUAAACUCUGGUUCAUUAGCCAUGGUCCACUAGUAUCCAUGUCAUGGCGCUAGGGUUUAAUAUGGUUAAUAGGAUCCUGGAUGAGGAAGUAUAUUGAAAAUUAACUUUAAAUUAAACAUAAAACACUAAAAAUUAUUAGAAGCAUUAAAAAAAUAAAUUUUUCCAUAUAUGGGUUAGAAAAUCUGACUUUAUUUUGAUCGUAGGGGCUGCUGGCUACAGUGAAAUGUAUAAAAAAGAGAGCGUGAUUCUAGUUUCUGUCUCUACUAUGAGUUACUUGUGAUUAACUUCAAAUAUUCCCUCCACGAGAAGAGACCCAGGAGAAGAAAAUGAACUUCAGUUAUUCUAGCACAACCACGGUGAUAUUUGUAAAGAUUCAAAACCUAUAAUAAAAUGUAGAAAAGGAAACUCCAUUUGAAAUGAUUUGAAAUCUCACAUGGAAAUCUAGUUUUUUAAAUCAGAGCUUAGUCAGAGAAAAUAACAGAAUAUUGUAAUAAUUGAAUUACAAAAACAACUGAAUUUUGGAAAAUAAUUUUUUCUCUCACGUGAUGUGUGUAUGUCUAUCUAUUUAGCAGUGGUGUUAUUCUAUCAAAUGGGAUUAGAUUCAUUUCUGAGUCCUGCUAAGCACCCUGUCCCCCCACCCUCAAGAUUAUGAAAGUGGAAGGGAAGGGGGAGAUAGGGAGGGAAUAUGACUUAUUUAAACUGUAUAAAAAUGCUGAAAUAAAAU